CUUGUUUUCUUUGUCCUCACUUUCCCACUCUCUACCUCACCAGCUAGCCUCCUCCUUCACCGCAUUGGCUCCCGUCUUCCCCCUCUCUCGUGUUGCUGGCUUACACACCUCUUCACGGACGUUGGGCUGCGACUGGCCACAGGAAUAGAGACGAGCCAUUCCUGGGUUGGGUGCUCCUGCGGUUACAGAGAGAAAUGCAGAUGGUGCGUGAUUCUACAUGGUUUUUUCCACCCUAUACUACUAUCUGAGUGGAGUCAAAUCACUUUGACGAGUCCCGCAGGAUCCAAAGUGCUGCUGGCAGCCGCCCCGGUGCCCCGAGAGGGGCCCAGAGAGGGGCCAAGAGCAGGAGAGUCAAGGCAGGCUCCCUCCAGGGCUCACCCCUGUGCCGCCAGCACUAAGGGGAGACCAGCUUGGAAUACAGGGGCAAUUCGAUAUGCUAUUUGGCAAACAAUACAAUAGAAUGUGCAAAUGAACAGCCCUUUCUUUUCCAUUAUAAGAGUUGCUGGGCAACUGUUUUCUCUUGUGCACAUAAACUUGAUGUCAGUGUAAUUUUGGCAAGCUUGCUUAGCUAAUUAAUGGUACUUAUUAACAAUCACAGAUUUGUGUAUUUGAUCCCUGUAUGGGCCGCUUAGCGUUCUUUUAUUCUGCACUCCCAAAUCUUGCAAAUCUAAGGCCUUGAUCACCAGUCUGGCCAGUUGAAGGGCUCUCGGAGAGUACCUGGCCGUUCCAUCUUUGUCACGGGUAAAGUAGCUCAACUCAUCUACCCAAUGGUGGGCAUCUCUUUGAAUAUGAAGAGGGCAUUUCUUCAGGAGCGAUUUCAUUGCUACUCUAAAUCUCUGUGGCCUAUAUAUAAUGAAAUUGUCAUCCCUGUUAAAAUGUAAAGUGUUCUAUGCCCACAACCUUGAGUUGGAAAUUGCACACAUAACCUUGAGGAUGCAUUGAUUACACCGGCUGCCCUUAUUUUUCAUGGAACCCUGCCACUUGGGGCAGUGUGUGUGGGAGGGGACUUUGGACUUGAAGAACACAGGCACUGUUUGGCCACUGACGUGCCUUGGUUGAAUUCUGGCUACACCUCUUCAUGGCUGGGAAAACAUGGGCAAGUCUCAACUUUUUCAGUACCUAGAAAUUGGGAUCAGUAGUCAGUACCUGCCUCAUAAGGCUCUUUUAAGAACUUAAAAAUUUUUUUUUAAUGUUUUUAUUUAGUUUUGAGACAGAGAGAGACAGAGCAUGAGCAGGGGAGGGGCAGAGAGAGAGGGAGACACAGAAUCCGAAGCAGGCUCCAGGCUCUGAGCUGUCAGCACAUAGCCCCAUGCGGGGCUUGAACUCACGGACUGUGAGAUCGUGACCUGAGCCGAAGUCGGACGCUUAACCGACGGAGCCACCCAGGCGCCCCUGUCUUAAGAACUUUUAAAAGAUAAACUGAGAUGUAUUAAAAAUGUUGAGUUUAUUUGAGCAAAAAAUGAUGUGAAUUGCACGGUAUCCAAUCUAGCAGAUAGAAAGAAGCUCUGAACUGAAUGACUUUUCAGGCAGAAGGGAGCAGGAAGAAGCCAGAUUGGUUGGUUAUUGCUAGAUUGUCUUCCUUUAGGGGAUAGUAGGAGUCUAUCAGGCACAUUACCUGACUAGUGCUGAUCAGGUGAUCCUCGAUUGGUUUAAGAUUUCAUUUCUGGAAGAGCUGGAACUGUAUUAAGUCUCUGGUGACGUGGGGCUUAGCAUAAGCAAUUCCAUUUGGGGCCUGCUGUCUUGUCUUUAAUAGGACAAAACAAGAUAAUUCAUGCAAAAGCACCCAGCACGGUGUUUUUAGUUUUCAUGUGUUGGUUUCCAUCUUUGGAAGGGAAAACGAGGAUGUGGAAGAUGAAACAAUUUAUAAAACGAUCUUUUGGUGCUACGUCCGGGCGGAUGAAAUGUUACGGUCUGUAUAAAGCUUGACUUUCUGCUGUUGAGAGUUGAGAUUAUCGGUUAAAUAACACAUUUAAUAUAUGAGGAACGAGUGGAAAAGAAGAGCCAGCAUUGUUGCACUCUCAGCCUUAUUUGAGCCUUGUCGGCAAGAACCCCCACGCCCGAUACGGCCUUCAUAGUUUUGUCUGGCAACGGAGCAAAUCCAAAGACUCCUUGGCGUAUGAUGGAUCAUUGACCAACCGGAGGCUCACGGUGAGUCACGUGCUUUGCACCAAAGCUUUCCCAUUGCGAAAAAGGAAUAAGAAAAUCUUAGUUCGCUGGGUUCUCGGGAGGGCUUGAGUACGAUCAUGCAUAUAAAACAUUUCCCGAUCCACAAACGGCUUUGACAAGUAAGUAUGAUUAUUUUGAUGAUGGUGGUGAUGAUGAAAAUGAUUUUAGGUGGCUGAAGUGUUAAAGGACAAAAAUGUUACGCAAUCCCUUGAGAACAGGACGGCUCAGAGCCCGGAGCCUGCUUCGGAUUCUGUGCCUCCCUCUCUCUCUGCCCUUCCCCUGCUCACGGUCUGUCUCUCCCUGUCUCUCCAAAAUAAAUAAAUGUAAACUAUUUAAAAAAAAUAAAAA
ensembl:lncRNA